GAUGAACGCUGGCGGCGUGCCUAAUACAUGCAAGUCGAGCGAACGGACGAGAAGCUUGCUUUUCUGAUGUUAGCGGCGGACGGGUGAGUAACAUGUGGAUAACCUACCUAUAAGACUGGGAUAACUUCGGGAAACCGGAGCUAAUACCGGAUAAUAUUUUGAAACGCAUGGUUCAAAAGUGAAAGACGGUAUUGCUGUCACUUAUAGAUGGAUCCGCGCUGCAUUAGCUAGUUGGUAAGGUAACGGGUUACCAAGGCAACGAUGCAUAGCCGACCUGAGAGGGUGAUCGGCCACACGGGAACUGAGACACGGUCCAGACUCCUACGGGAGGCAGCAGUAGGGAAUCUUACGCGAUGGGCGAAAGCCUAACGGAGCAACGCCGCGUGAGUGAUGAAGGUCUUCGGAUCGUAAAACUCUGUUAUUAGGGAAGAACAUAUGUGUAAGUAACUGUGCACAUCUUGACGGUACCUAAUCAGAAAGCCACGGCUAACUACGUG
rnacentral:rRNA from 1 species